CUAAAGGCUCUUUUAAGAGCCACCACAUAGCACAAAAGAGCUGUG
rfam:Patagioenas fasciata monilis isolate BTP2013 Sc31e1R_53, whole genome shotgun sequence.